GAGGGAGCCAAGACUUUCCUGGGAGGACGAGAGGGGAGGUUCUGGCCAGUGCUCCUGGCUCCCUGACAAGCACCUUCCUACACCGGCAGAGGCCUCUCCACACACCUGCUGGGUGCCAGUCGGCCGGCGAGCUGGAGGCAGGGGGCCUCGGGGCUGCCUCCUGUGGUACCUAGUGCCACGGCGGAGUGACAUAGCACUUCAGGGAGCACGCAAGGAGCCCCGGUGUGUGAGCCUGCCCUCCCUUCUUCCCUCUUGUGAGGGCCGAGCUGUGCUGGUAUGAGGCGGGGCAGGGGGUCCACGCUGGCUGCCCGGCGCUCUCUCCACCCAAUUCCUGCACACGUGCCCCCACCUCAGCCUGGGUAUUCUCAGCCAGGCACGGACCAUAGCCCACUGUGCUUUUCUCCUCUCUUCCAACCCCUCUCUUCUCUUGGCCCCAGAGGGGUUCUGGCUCCCUAUGAGCUGGGGGCCUGGCCCUGCUCGCCUUGAGUCUCAGCCUUGUCCUUCAAAUCCAGCAGGACUCGAAGGGCUAAGGGGGUGCUGAAGACUACUGUGUGAGGUGCCGUCGCCUCCGGCAGCCUCCUCCCCACAGCCCUGUGUGCUGUCCAGAGACUCAGCCCGCCCAGCGACGUGGAUUGCAGGAAGCCUCUGCGUGUGUGACUCAGACCCUUGACGUCCGCCUGGGAACCCUCCAAGGACCACCCCGUCAGCUCAGACCAGGGAGCACACACUGGGGAAGGGAAGGCCCUGUGAGCGCACAGCGAGAAGGUGGCCAUCUUCAACCCAAGGGAAGACCCUCACCAGACGCCGACCCUGCCGGCACCUUGAUCUAGGACUUCUAGAACUGUGGGAAGUAAGUCUUUGCUGUUUAACGCGCACAGUCUGUGGUAUUCAGUUUUGGCUGCCUGAGCUAGGACAGUGGCAAGUGUCCUCCUUCUCAGGGCCUCCUUUUCCUCCAAAGCGAGAGUAGUGGUUUAGCAUUUUACUCCUCGAGGGCGGUUGCUGACCGACCGGCAGCAUCGGCAGCAUCGUCUGGGAGCCCCUGAGAAAUGCAGAAUCCAGACUCCACCCUGGAGCCACUGUGAAUCCGAAUCUGCGUUUUAACAAGUUCUUCAGGCCACUCACGUGCACGUCAACAUUUGAGGUUUGCUGCCGUGGGUCAUCUCUAAGGUAUCCUCCAGGGUUGACCCUUGACGCCCUUUUAUCCUAGUCAUCCCGUCCUCACAUCUGCCUUCACCGUGUUCGGAAUCAGAGCCACUUUUGAGGUAGCGGUCUGGAGCUUCCCUACCACCCCCAUCCCCCCAUCUCCCCUGACCUCUCCUGGGAAAAACAGGAAGUGUUUCCUCUGGGUGUGUAAGUCCUGCUGGGCUGGGGUUUCUCAGGAAGUCAUUCACUAGGGCUGCCGCAAAGAGCAGAGAGCGUACCUGGUGAAGAGGUCUCCUCUUCCCGAGUGGGACUUGUGUCUGCAACCAAAGAAGAGUGAAAAGAAAAUAGAAUGUUUUGGUUGGAA